rnacentral:lncRNA from 1 species
UGCACUUUCACCUUUCUUAUUCAAGUUGUUCCAAACAACAAAGUAUUAUUAUUUUCACUAUGUGAUCCUGUGAAUGGCAAUGUAGUGAUGAGAGGUUAAUUUACAAUCAAGGAGAGCUCCAUUUAUUAGCUAGUGAUGGAAUGAAGUUUUGUUUGGAUGCAUCUCCAAGAAAGAAGCCUACUUCAAAAGAAUUUAAGAGUGGUUCCUUCUCCCCUUGCAGAUCAGAUGCCAACCAGGUAUCUCUUCAUUCACAAUUCCCUAGUAUCUAACAAAGUACAGAGGCUAGUAUCUUGUGAGAUUUUGGUGGAAUGCAAAGGAGAGAAAUCGACAUCAAACAAUUUAACAAAUACAAAUAGCAGGAAUUUGGAGAAGUCUGAUUGACAGUUGAAGCUCCAAAUUAAAAUGUCAUUAUGCAUAUAUAAUUAAUUGGUUUGCCAGAAUGCUUGUGUUUUUCUGCUCACAGCCAGUCUGCAGGGUGACAUUUUUUUCUCGUGAAUUUUACAUAUAUGAGUGGUAUUUGAAAGCAAACUCUUAAUUUCAACAGAUGUGGGAGUUCAGCAAUAAUGGAUCCCUUAUCAGCAGCUAUUCUGGUCUCUGUGCAACUGUGAAAUCAAUUGACGGUAUUAUGCUAGAAGUUCAAGCUGAUUUUCUAUAUGUACGAUAAGGGCCAUUUGAUGAGGCUUCCUUGAUAUAUGCAGCUAAUGUUGGUAACAGCGGAGGAGUUCGCUCUUGGAUUGCCACUGGUAGAAAAGGUUUAAUGCCUCCCUAAAGUCUCUAUAAAUUUGGUUUCCAUUCUGUUACCAUUCCUUUGCUGUUUUUUCUUUUAAAAGAACCCAAAGAAGUUUGUGGUUUGAUGAGAAACUUCACCCCUGAGAUGGUUUUUCUUUUUUCGAUGAGCAUGUUCUGAUUUUUGUUGAAGUUUUGACAGAGGUGAGACUCGAACAAGAGACCUCUACCACUGAGCCAUAUGCUAAGAUGAUUAUAAUUUUCCUCCUUGGUGAAGGGAUGCUAUUUUCAAUCUAACUGUUUUUUUUUUCCCUGUAACUGAGGUGGAAUCUAGUCUGCUCAUUAUCUAUAUUCAUGCUUCAUUGAUUACUCAAGUAUAUAUUCAUUUAUCAAGUUCCAAGUUGCCUAAUUUAAAGAGAAUUAAUGAUCUUCUGCUAGCUGCCAACUUCUGUGUCUACCAUGGCACUCUGGUAGUAUCCAACCAUACCUAUGAAUUAUGAUUGAUAAUUAACAUGCCUACAGUUCAUUGUCUGAAAACUUUUUUGGCAUAUCACAUAUGUAUCUAUUUCUCUUAAUUAUUCAGUACUGACUUUGCCUCUGUUUACUUAGGAGAGAUUUAUGUUGCACUUUUCAAUCUGAACUCAGAGAAGACAGUAAUAUCAGCAAGGAUAUCAGACCUGACUAAGGCACUUCCUGGGAGAAACUCGAAGGCGACAUCAUGUCACGGCAGAGAAGUUUGGAGUGGAAAAGCUUUUGGAGAAAUAAAAGAUUCAAUAUCAAUGGAGGUAGAGAUCCAUGGCUGUGCAUUGUUUGUCCUCAACUGUCCCUAGUAUAAACUGACACAGCAGAGUUUCUUUCCUUUCUCUGUUGUGUGAGUGGAAAGAAGAGGUAUAUGUUGUAUCAAAGGCAGUGAAUUCAUGUACGCUUUAAGUUGGUGCAGCCAAAAUGAUUCUGCUUCACCAGCUCCUAAAUGUCAUAUUGAUUUACUAAUCUUCUUGUAUCCUUCUGUAGACAUUAAAUAGUGCACUUCAUCAAGAAUCCUUCUCUAGACAUGAGACCAAGUCCAUUCCUUUCCUAUGAAAAUACGCAUUCCUAGAAUUAACGUCGAGGGAACUUCAACAAUUACUUAGAAAAAAUAAAAAGUUAUUUUGAAUAAGUUAUUAUAUAAACUUUUCUCAAGAGGAUAUAUUCCUUAACUCCUCCUCCCAAAGCAUUUCACGCUGCGGAGCAAUUAUUUUACCUAGAGCAUCUUCCUAUUAAAUUUCCUCAAAUAUAUCCAUGUAAACUUGUCUUUUUAUUGGGCAACAUUAAAGUGUUAUGUGGAUUUUUUUUUUGUGUGGAUAUGCUUAUGCUAAAGUAUGCUUCUAGCUUGGUGCACAGAUUAUUAAUUAAACCUUUCAAUAGAGUUUGGUUCCAAAUUAUAUUAGGCACGCAUAUAUACUCUUAUGGUUAUAGGAAAUAUCUUACAUGUGAGUCACGAUCUUGGAUGGCCAUCUCUAAGCUAUUGCACAUAUUUUAUACUCCCUUGAAAAUGUAGUUCUUGGAGAGUAGUGUUUAAUAUGUGUUUGGACAAAGAAGAACCUCUCCAUUAAUGGUGGCUAUAGAUAUUCUUCUGGAUAUGCUCAUGUAUAAAUCGUCUCUUAGUUCUUAAAUUUGUUAGGCUCCCAAAGCUGGGUGUAUGACAAUUCCAGUGACUGAUAUUCGUCCUAUAGUAACUAGGGGAAGUUUGUUCAGACUAUUUGUUUUGUGCAUGGGUGUCGCAAUGGUGCCAAUGAUCCUUUAAGGAACUCCUGUGAUUGUCAUUUUUCCUAGUCUUUUCUAGGUAGUGUAAUCGUCUACGGGCUUCUGGUGCAGUUAAUGGCCAUGGUGUUAAAGUAUUAUGUGUGUUGUUAAAGGUGUUAAGACUUGUUGUUGUGGAAAAGUUUGAUUUUUCCUUGGAGUUAUCAACACUGUUUAGGUGAGGAGUUGCGCCUCACUAGUGAGUUGUUAAAGCUCUUGCUGGGUAGAAGUCUUCCUUGGAUAUUGAUUGUGUGCCAUGGAAUUACCUUGAAAUGUCAAAAGCAAGUUUUAGAAAGAAACCAAUGGUUUUUUUUUUUUUUUAUCAUGUUCUCACAGACGGUGCUACUGAUGAAGUCCUAAAAAAUACAAGUAGCCUAGGAACAAGGCUCCCGAGUUGAAUAAUCAAUUGGUCCCAACAAUCUCAUCCAUUCUCCCUAGCGAAGAUGGUUGAUAGCUUAUACUUGAUGCUUGGUAGACCAAAGUGACUUAUGGUUAAUACUUGUAAAAUAUCAUCUUUGGUGAAGGUGGAGACUCUUCAAUGCUUAAAUAAGUAUUUUUUUAGAGAUAGAAAAUACAAUAAUAUUUUAGAGAGAGAUGCUCUGAAAAUAUAUAUGCAAUAGAGAAUGAAAAUUGUGAACUUUUAUUCAGAAGGUCUCAUGAUGUAUUUGUAAUCCAUGAGUCUUGUCCUUCUAUUGAGAGGAGGGACUAAAGUGAAAUUUUACCUUCGUGAUAUUUUGAAAAAAUCACUACCAUAUAAAGUAAAGAAAGAUCCUGUAAAAUCGAAAAAAAAAAAUGAUAAAAGAUUGUGGGUUGUAUUCCAUCAUUUUAUCUAGCUAAAAGAUGGAGACAUAGCGGGUCAUGAAAGACUUUAAUACACCUAAUAGUGCUAGCGGGGUGUAGACUUGUUUAAUUAAGGUUAUUUGUUGAGAAAUAAAUCCUCUAAGAUUUUAUAUAAAAAUCUAUAGAAUUGAUGACGUUAGAUUCAUGUAUUAUGUUUAAAUUCAUGGGCGUAGCUAAUCCAGGGAUGCCUGAGCUGUGAUGACAAAAAUCUCGGGCUCAACACUUUUAGGAAACAUGUGUCAGACCCACCUCGUUGGUCCAGUAGCACACCAGACCAAGUUAUCGGGCUUGGUAACACCUACUAGACCCAUAUUGUAUUUAGGUCUGGCAAGCGCUCAACACAUGUCACGCUUCGGCAUGGCAUAUUACCAGGCUCAAGUGCUGGGUCUAACAGAUGUUGCUAGAUCCAAACAUGGGAUUUGCAAAACCAGACUCAAAUAUCAGUUCUGACAGCAUCAGACCCAACUACAAUUAGGUAUGGUAUUGGCCAAACCCAAAAGCAAUUGGGUCUGGUUAACUAUAAAAAAAUAAAUUUUAUAAAAAGAUCUAAAAAGAUCAAAAUCAACUUGUGUUAAUUUUCAAAACCUAUAAUUUUUUUUUAAAGCAAUAAAAUAGCAUCCCAAAACAAAAUAAACAUUAGUAAAAAAAGUGGAGUCAAAUUCAAAAUGAAAAAAAAUCAAAAUCAAAUAAUGAGAGGUGAAUCUAAAAUAAAAUUUAAUUAGUGGAAGGAUAUAAAAAUAUUAAAAGAAUCAUAUCAAAUUUAAUUUAAAAAUCAAAUGAAAUCUAAUGUUGAAGGAUAAAAUUAAAGAAAAGAAUCAAUAAUAAAAAAUAUUAAUCAAAAUAAUAAAAACUAAAUAACAUAUAAAAUAUAAAUAGUAGGACACCAACCAUUUUUUCUUUCAAUUAGUAUUCUAUAUUUGAGAAAUAUUAAAUUGCUUUAAAGUCAACUUAAUUAUAAUAAUAAAAAUCAAAAUAAAAAAAACAGGAAAGACCCUUAGAAGGAAGCUUUAUUUUUGUUGCUUCCUAUCCUAUGACAAUUUAGUAAUAUAAUUAUGCUUGAAAAAUAGAAAUGUCUAAAAACCCCUUGAUGAAAGUUAAUGUUUUAUUUAUUUAUUUAUAAGUCUAAUUAAAUCAUUUAAGUAUUUAUAAUGAAAAUAAAAAUCAAGUUUGUUCUUAAUUAAUUUCUAAAUCAUCUCUUAAUUGUUAAGUUAGUAUUAUUUUAGUUUCUUGAUAAUAGUAACUAGAUACAUUUCCCGCAGCAGAGCUGGGUUUUCUUUUGAUCGCUGCGGCACGGGCCUACCAAACGGAUGUGAAAAGAGAGAUGACAUUGAAUUAAACCGCAUUCUAUAACAGUUGCAAACACAGAAUCAAAAACAGCAGUUCAGCAUUCAAGAAGCUAUUCCAAAGCUUUCUUAAACUACAAAAUUGCAAGCACAGAAUCAAAAAUAGCUGAACACGGAAUCAAAAAUAACAGUUCAGCAUUCAAGAAGCUAUUCCAAAGCUUUCUUAAAGUAUGAAGAGACAAUAAAAGACAUAUUAGCAGAUAUGCUCAGCAGGUGGCAUUGUUCAUCAACCAGCAAAGAGCACAGCAAUAUGUUUAACUGACCCAGAUAAAAGGCUUCGGACUCGGGAGGUGGGAGGUGACACAUUAGAGGCUGAUGCCGACAUGGCAGUGGUUGGAGGGAGGAUAGAACAAGCAGCUUUUGUCAGAAAACAACACAUGUCUGCAUGUGUUGCUCAAAUGCUAAUGAUCCUGUGGGAAAGAAGCUUCGCCGGCGUUGUUAAUACAGGGAAGCAAAUGAAACCAUAAGGUGCUAACUGGAAAGCAAAAUAUUGAAGGGACGGCAUGCUAAAAUGCAGAGGAGCAAAGGCAACAGGCUUAAGUUUGGAGACAAAUUGGAGAGCAAAGUCUGCACCUUCACCUUUCCGUUUAUAAAUUUUCUAUGCACUAUUUAUGUGGUGCAGCAAACAUCAAUCAUUAUACUUUUCGAUAUAUUCAUUUCCUUUCUCCUGGAAUGUAAAUUAGGUUUUAGUCAUCCUGCAAUGCAAUUAAUUUAGGUAACUAAAUCUGUUCCCCACUUGAAAAAUUCUAUAACACUCAUUAAUCAGUAUCCUAAUCACUGUGAUAUCUAUCUGUCAUUUGGUUCCUUUUAUUUUGUUUACGAGUUACAUGUCAAGCCAAUUAGUUAAUACAAAUCCUAAAGGAUAAUCACAAACUUAUUGUGAUAUCUAUUAAUUGAUUUUUUUUGUAUUUGUUUUAAAGUAUAAUGAAAAUGUAAUUUUUUAUUUAUUUAUAAAAUAUGCAUGGAAGUUUCAGAAUUUGGUUGUAUAAACAUGUUAUAAUCAAAUUUUGACCCAUUUGCUUUUUAAUUUAAUUUUAAGAGGGUUAAAUUUGAAACUAAAAGAUCAAGGGCUUGAAUGUAAAUUUUAGAAACUUCAAGGACUAAAUUGAGAAAUGGUCAUUCGCAGUCCAAAACAACACCGUUUCAACCAUGCAUAGUUUCUUCUUCUUUUUCCUCAAACAUUGCAAAUCCGCCUACAAAGAACGGAAAGAAAUUGAAAUGUCAGCAUCCUAGUCCUACCAAAACACAAAGAUCAAUCCCUAUUUUCAUGAAGAUUACUACCCCGGAGGGAUAAGGAUUGAACCUCAGGUGUCCUAGUCUUCGCAAAAAACCAACACCUCCCUCCCAACCAUGCUUAUCAAGAGAAAAGUCGCGCGUGGAGGGAGAAUCAGGGACGUCCCCUAUAAAUACAAAGCUCUCUAAAGGAAAGGGGGGAGGGAAAAUCCAGAAGAAAAAAGUAGAAAACAAGAGAGAACAGGGGAAAGAAAAGAAAAGGAGAGUAUCCAGAACAAAGAAAAAACCAAAAACAAAAGAGACAAGAGAGAUAGAACAUGAAAGAACAAGAAACAGGAGAGAACUUGAAGACAGGAACUUUGUCCAACAUCUGCAGUUUCAUGCUAAUUCUCUGCAAACCAGGUAAGUCUUUUGUCUUUCCCCGCUCUCAUUUUAAUUCAUUAGACUGUUCAUUUUGUGAUUUAAUUAUCUAGGCUCUAUAGCAAGCGUGUGUGAAUAGCUCAUGCACGCUUGCAACUAAAGAUUAAACCAGCUAGGUUAGUGGUCUGAACUAGUAAUCGGGUCGGGCCGUUGGGUUUAGUCUAGCCUAUAUGGCUAGGCUAGACCAAGACCCAAAAAAAAGAAGAAAAAGUUGGUCGGGUCUGGGCUUUAGGUCCAACUGGCCCAAAUUGUGUUUGCUAAGGGUGUGUUUGGCAAAACACACCCUUUUUAAAACUUUUCCUCAAAUAAGCCACACAACCUAUGAUAAGAAUAAGAAAGAAAGAAAGAAAGAAAGGAAUACACCACUAUUUGAAUUCAUAAUAGCUAUGUCUUUACGUCCACAGUAAAUAUUCGAGCCCUUCUAGCUUUUUAUUAACUUUUUUAAGGAUAAAAGUUAUUAUUCUCUCAAGUAGAGUUGAAAAGGACACGAGAAGACUUACAAUUCUCAACAUGCUAGCAUCAUUGACAGAUUAAAAAAUAAUUUGAUUAUCCUUUAUUAUCAUUAUUGUCAUAACCUAUUUUUGGGUUAUUUUAUAAAUUAAUUUUUUUAAAAAUAAAAAUAAAAUAGAGAUUGAUAUUUUGAAAAAAGCAGACUGAAGAGGAUUCCAAAUAUACCGAAAAAUCAAGUUGCAAUUUUGAAUGUAAUUGAGAGCCUAAUUGUAUGUCAUUUUACCCAAAACGAGAAAGACAAUACAGAUUCAAGGUCAAAUUAAAUUAGUAUUGGAUGAAUAUGUAUAAAAAAAUAAGCCUAGGACGUAAUUAGAUUCUUAAUAGGCCAAUUUGAUUUAAUCAUGGGUCAAAUUAAAGUUUAAAAAUUAAUUUGGAUUCAAUUGAAGGGCUUAUUAGGUGCAAGGACUUAAUUAUGCUUUAAAUGAGUCAAAUUAAUUUUAUUAGGAGCUUAACUGGUGAAAAAAUUAUUUUUUGGAGCCUAAUUUGGGUUUAAUUGAGAAGAUUGAAAUUUUAAAAAACCAAAUUUAAUUUUUAUCAAUUCAAUUGAUUGAAAUAAGAGGUAAACUUGUAAGAAAAUUAAAGUUUUGAGGUUAAUUAAGGACUAAAUUAAAGAAAUUCAUAGUCAAUGAUCAUUUUGAAAAAGACGUCAAACUCUGAGGACCCAAUUAAUUGAAAUCAGGGGUGAAAUUGAAGAGAAUUGAAAGUUUAACUGUCAAUUAAGAGUCAAAUUACAUAAAUCCAAUACUAAGAACCAAAAUGAAAAAAAAACACUGAAAUCUAGGGCUGAAAUUGAAGUUCAUUAGGGACAAAAUUGAAAAAAAUUGAAAAUUUGAAGCCAAUCUGGGGUGUAAUUGAGAUACAUCAUAAAUCGAAGGAUUAAAAUGCACUUUGCUAAAACGACUCCGUUUUGAGGUUGACUGUUUAUCUUUUUCUCUAGAGAAGCUUCUUAAGUGGCCUCCUUCCCGAGGUGUUUUAUGCUUUAUCUCUCCAUUAAAUUAGACAAAACUUACACAAAAAUGAUCACCUGACACCUGGCUACAUACCAAUGUGAUUCGUUCUAGCUGAUUGAUACUACAGCGACUAUGACACAACCUCAAAGUGGUCAACCCGACCAACCAUUUUCCUGCAACAAAUCUGACAGCUCAUAACAGCUACUUUGAGUUAACGGUUGGGAUCCUACCGGGUCAAAUUAAGGGCCAAGAUUUGGCACCAAUAGAGACGAAACGUCCCUCUUCCACUCCCUUUAUAAAUAGAGGUGGAUUUCAUGGCAUGAAAAAGGGAAAAUCAGGGCCAAAAUCAACAAAAAAUCAGCAUUCCUCCUCAUUUUCUGUUGCCACCAUGAACUCCCCCCCUCUCUCUCCAUUGUGGCCUUUAGCCACCAACACUCUCACCACCAACUUAACCACCACCAUCUCCACCACAAGCAGCUGCUCAACCACCUUACAUGGUGAGUGUGCCACCGAGUUCUCUCUCUCUCUCUCUCUCAUCUGCAAACUUCUCCUUCUUCCUCCUCCAGCAACCCACCGCCGGCGUGACCACCAUCCUCUCUGUUAGAGAAUAAUAUAAAUCAUAUCUUGGGACCUCACCUAACAACUUAAGCUUUUGGGUUGAGAUGGUUUUUUGACAUGGUAUCAGAGCCUUGAUGACCAAGCAGUCACGAGUUCGAAUCUCACCAUCCCUAUUUAUUUGAUAAAAAUUAAGCACAAGGUAAUGUGAGCAUGUGUAAGUUUCAAGCCCAAAGGGCUUUCACUUGAAGGGGUGUGUUAGAGAAUAAUAUAAAUCAUAUCUAGGACCUCACCUAACAGCUUAAGCUUUUGGGUUGAAAUGGUUCUUUGACACUCUCCACCAGCAGCUUCCCAUACCAGGUAAACUUCUCCCUUCUUCUUCUCUUUCGUUCCCCCAUCAUCUUCGUUCUGUAUACAAAAUGAUAAUUUUUUAUGUAUGCAGGGCAUUGGGAAGGGGGGAUAAUUCCUUUCUCGAGUUUGGGUCGGCCUAUCCCAGAUUAAAAAAUGACCAGAACUGUUGGGUCAAUAUCAGCCUAAUCCUUUUGGGGCGAGACCAACUAAAUUGGACUCGACUCAUAUAGAUGGGACAACCCAACCUAAUAUAUUUAAUAAUAAUAUAACUAUAAUAAUAAUCUGUUUUUUUUUCUCCUUCUAAUUUUCUAAUAGUGAUAGCAUAUAUUCAAUUUCCUUACAUAAUAUCUGUUUCCUUGCAUUAUUUUAAGAAUGUUCUGCAGGAUAUUAUUAUAUUUAAUUAAUCCCCUCGUAUACUCUAUCCGUUUUCCUUGAAUCAUGUAUUUAGUUUGAAUAUUUGUUUCCUUUCAUGUACUUAAUUAUAUAGGCCAUAGGAAUUUAGAUAUACAUACGAUUUUCAUAAAUGGGAUGAUGUCAUGAUGAGAUGUUGGCUGCAUGAUUUUUUGGGAGCCUCAUACUUUCUUUCCUAGUUGAGUGAUGCUAAACCUAUUAAAGUGUUUGACUAAUAGCCUUGGGUAUGUUUGUUCUAUAUAAGAUACGCUCUGACCUGGUCGUAGAUAGAAGGAAGAAGGGUUGUAUUUGCAUUUUAGUAUACUAAAACAAUGAGGAUCCAACUGCUGAGCUCUCUGUUUCUCUUCUCCUUCAGUUCUUAUCCUUACAGGUGUUUCUCUCUCUAUGUUUCUUCUCUUCACUACUGUUAUGAUCAUUCACGUUGGAGUUAUGCUGUUAGAAUUAAUUCCAGUGUUUGUUGUAAGAAAACCAUUUUUACAUUUGAUUCUUUGAAGUAAGACAGGUACUUUCAAAAUUGCUAACUAAAUAGCAUGCAACUCAUUCUUAAAUUUUACUUUUUGGAUAUACUGUCUUCUUUAGUCAUUGAUGAUCCUCAUAGGACAUUGAAUUGAAUAAUACACGAUCAUGUUUCUUUUUAUCAAUCCCAUAAUUGUUUCAACAUUUGUUUUGAAGGCUUUCUUGGCUAAAUAUAUUCGUUUGUGAACUUAAAAAUCUGUACAAAACCUGUUUUAGGGUGUCAUCUCAACCUGAGCACGCUAGCUUCCCGCCUCGAGGGUGGAACUCUUACGAUUCCUUUGACUGGAUUCUAUCUGAAGUAGACUUCUUGCAAAGUGCCGAAAAGAUCUCUCAGCGUCUACAGCCUUAUGGAUAUGAGGUAUAAAAUGGCUGAUGACUACAAUCAACUCUUAGAACUUUUUUAAUUACUGGAGCAAUUUGAGAACGGGAUAGUUUAUUGAAAUAGAAGAUGUCUUUUAUCCGUGAAAUUCCAUGUAGUAUGCAGUGGUAGAUUACCUGUGGUAUAGGAAGAAUGUUCCAGGUGCUUACCCAGAUUCUCUUGGAUUUGAUGUAAUUGAUGAAUGGGGGAGGUUGAUCCCUGAUCCAGAUAGGUGGCCCUCAUCUGAAGAUGGGAAAGGGUUCACUGAAGUAGCCCAGAAAGUACAGAGCGUUGGUUUGAAGCUUGGGAUUCAUGUUAUGAGAGGAUUAAGUAGACAGGCAUAUGAUGCGAACACCCCCAUCUUGGAUACUACCACGGUAUUAUUCCUUAUUAUCAAUGAGGGUUCAUUCUUCUCUCUUCUUUUCAUUUUUUUUUUUCCAGCAGGAGAAGUAUUUCUUCUCUUUUCCCUUCCAUGCUCAGAUUUUACAGUCCCACAAACACUGUCAUCAUAAAAAUAGACUACUAGUCAGGUGAAAGGUGCAAUAUGAGCUCAAGUUUCUAAUUGAUUUGCUCUAAAAGGUUAAUGCUAAACUUCUAUUUUUAUUAGGGACGUGCUUAUGAAGAGUCUGGACGACUGUGGCGAGCAAAAGACAUAGGGAUCACGGAGAGGGCUUGUGGAUGGAUGCCACAUGGUUUCAUGAGUGUAAAUACUAAGUUGGGAGCAGGAAGAGCCUUCUUGAGGUCACUUUAUGAACAGUAUGCUGAGUGGGGUGUUGAGUUUGGUAAUUAAUAAUUAACUGAAACCUGCAUUUUUCCAUCUUACCCAACACAUUAAGAAGUCUGUGAGUCCAAUAGGGUGUAUCUCAAGUCUCAACAUUUUCUAGAGAAUGAAUUUUUCUUUUUACUGAUUAAAAAUGGUAAAAUAACUUGUCAAAGCAGCAUUGCAUCUUUCGAGAAUUUCCAUUAUUGGAAGCAUGGAUGAAGUAUUGUUUCUAUAAUGAGGUGGGGAAUGUAUGUUGAAGGUCCUGGAAGGACUGGAUAGUAAUAUUGCAAGUGAGUCUAGUAGAGUUUUGACCUCUUCAAGCAUUUUAGGCUAGGGCAAGCUUCUUAUGGAUAGUAAUUUUGACUCGUAUUUAUUACAAAACUGUGAAUUCUGCACAUUUCAAUCUCCCCUCCUGUCAUUUAUACCUCUGCAUUUUCUUAGUGGCUUCAUGUCAGUCUUUCUUUGUUUUAAUAAUUUUCAUGUUCGUUUCUUCUCUUUUAUUUGCAGUGAAACAUGAUUGUGUGUUUGGUAAUGACUUGGAUGUAGAUGAAAUAACGUUUGUGUCAGAGGUAUACAGCACUUUCUGGUGCAUAAAUUUUAUGUCUUCAAUCUUUUCUGAAUAGAGAUGAUGAUACAUGAAGUGCACUUGUUCAGGUUCUGCAAAAGCUCAGUCGUCCCAUUCUGUAUUCCGUGUCUCCGGGAGUUAUCCCGACACCAGACAUGGAGAAAGAUAUUAGUGCGUUAGUCAACAUGUACAGGGUAACAGGUGAUGAUUGGGAUACAUGGGGAGAUGUUGCAGCUCAUUUCGAUGUUUCAAGGUGGAAUAAUGUUUUCAUGUAAAAUAAGAGCUUAAAGUUCAAAUUAUAUAUAGAUCGUCGCUCCUAAUUGGUGCUUUUCUUCUUUUCUAUUAUUUUUUAUGCGAUUUCUUGUUCAUCUACUUCAGGGACUUUGCUGCUGCUAAUAAGAUUGGUGCGAAGGGCUUGCUGGGGAGGUCAUGGCCUGACUUGGAUAUGCUUCCCGUAGGAUGGCUUACAGAUCCUGGUGAUAAAAAUUAGCAGAUUGUUCUCUUUUAAUUCUAGCACAUUUUAAGUGAUUUUAUUUUGUAAGGGGUUGGUGAGACUGAGUAUAGGAAAGCUGAUUGCAACAUGGAUUACUGACAUGUAAAUUGAACGAAGCAGUGGAAUGCUUGCUGUUACAUUGAGGUAGCAAAAUAGCAUAGCUUGUCCAUGCACUCGAGUGUUCAUCAUGGUAAUUAACUGGAACGGCACAAAUCCUAGUGACAAGAUCAUUGGAAAGUUAUACAUCUGGACCUCUUUUUUCCUUGGGUCUAGGGGUUUGCUACAUAAGUUGCUGGGGUGUUCAUGAUUAACUUGAAAGUGUUUUAAGAGUUCUACUGGAAAAGACAAAAACUUGAAAAUCACAUUGUUUUUCUGUAUCCUAGGUUCUGGCAGAGGACCACACAGAAUGAGUAACCUUAAUCUAGAUGAGCAGAAAACCCAGGUAUGUACAUGCAACUCUAUAUGUGCGUCAGUCCUCUGUUAAAAACUUAAGAUUCUUUGUUGAUGACUCGAUACAAGUAUUUUCCUUCGCAGAUGACUUUGUGGGCAAUGGCCAGAUCCCCUAUCAUGUUUGGAGGAGAUGUUAGAAGGCUUGAUGAGACCACAUCUAGUUUGAUCACCAAUCCCUUCAUUCUGGAAAUAAAUUCUUUUAGCAAGAACAAUAUGGAGGCAUGUGAAACAAUGUCUUUAAGAGGUCUUUGGAAUAUUAACUGAGGUUUUUUCUGAUGUAUCAUCGCAUUGCACAUGCAGUUUCCAUUUGUUACUUUCACAAAGGUUUCUGCACAUAAGACCACGAAUCACAGCCGAAGAUUAAGAAGAAGAUUGAUGGAAGUUGGCACAUCACAUACACAGUUUCUGGGUUUCAGUAGCUGUAACCAUCCCAAAGUCAACGGUUGGUCAAUUAAAGCACUUGACCAAGAUCUUGACCAGAUAUGCUGGAAGGAGAGCAUGAGAAGCCAUGAACCUUUAUGCCUAUACAAGCGAAAACCUCUUUUGACUAUGUAUGCACUUUCACCUUCCUUAUUCAAGUUGUUCCAAACAAGGAGUUAUCAUUAUUAUUUUCACCAUCUGAUUCUGUGAAUGGCAAUGUAGUGAUGGACGGUUAAUUUCCAAUCAAGGAGGGUUCCAUUUAUUAGCUAGUGAAGAAAUGGAGUUUUGUUUGGAUGCAUCUCCAAGAAAGAAGCGUACUUCAAAAGAAUUUAACAGUGGUUCCUUCUCCCCUUGCAGAUCAGAUGCCAACCAG